rnacentral:lncRNA from 1 species
GUAAACUGUAUAAGGGAAAAUCAGUGUGAAAUCCUCACCAGGCAUUAGUAAAAAAUUGCACUGGGAGAUGAGGAAUAUUCUGAAAUAGUGUUGGGUGAGUGGUACUCCAGGUAAGCAUAUGUUGGCAUACUCUUCAGUUGUAAAUUACGGGCAGAAAUGAAUGGUGCCAAACUGGUCUAAGUAAAUGAUCAGAGUGCAUUAUUUCCACAAAAAGGUAGGUAUAGGCAAGAAUCAAAUUUCUCAUCAUGGGUAUGAGAGCACUACUCUGGGAAAUAAGUACAUUAGGGCACACAGCUUUCUUAGCAUCAGCUAUUAUAUCCUUUUAAGCCAUGUUUGAGAGUACAUUUCCUUCUUGAAAACUGGGAAUUUGUUCUAUUUUUAUAGAAAUGAGCUUGUUGCAAAUUGGCAUACUCUGUUGUGUGCAUGGCUUUCUAUGCCACAGAGGGACCGCAGGGCAAUUAUCAGAAGCAUCCACUGAAGGACUUGAGUAAUUUGCCAAAUGUUAUUUUGUUUGCAGAUAAAGUAAAUAGUUUUAGUACUGAAGUGCAUUUAAGUACUCUAACUUUUUGUUUAGUUUAAAUUUUGUUUCUCUUACCCCUUUAAAAAAGCAUUCUUCUGUCUACUGACUUUUCUAUUUUUAUGUUCUCGAGCACAGUUAUGUGACUGCCUGUAAUGCCUCCUAUGAAUCUCAGCAUAGGGGAGUUUAUCCCAAGAUGGAGCUGUGAAUGGAUGUUGAUUUAAAGGAGGUCAGUUAAACUUCAUUAAAUUAAGCUUUUUUUAAAAAAAGAUCAUCUGUGAGGAGACAGAAUGAUGUUGUUGAUAGCUGUGGUGCUCUCCUGAAAUACAAACCAAUGCCUGAUAGGAAUGGUUUCACAAAGGCUUGACUCACACCUGUACUGGAUUGUCUCUUGAUUCUGCUCUUCUGAUUUUUUUUAAAUGGCUCAGGGAUCUGUUUCAACAACAGUAAGCAAUGUCAUGUUAUGUGUUUUAAUGCAAAUCUUCAACACAUACAAGCUGUUCCUUGGACAACAGAGCUAGUAAAGCAUUGUUUACUUACGUCCAAUGUUUCCUGGAUGCAGAGCAGUCUUAAACCCAAAUGGUUGGUCAGAUGUAUGCUGCUAAGCUAUUGGGUGCUGGUGGCUGUGUGA